UCUGAACUGCUGCCGCCAUAGCAACGUGUCGACAAACGUUGUUGACUAAUAGAACAGUGUUUUGCGACGGUGGUGUUUGAGCUGGUCUGAAGUACCCGAAAGAACGGAGUCAAACAACAGGCAGAAAAGAAACUGUGCAUGGAGAGAACUUUGUCGAUGGAAAUGAUAAUGAAAUUCAACAGAUAAAUUUCUACAACUGCAUGCUGACCAUCAAUCAAUGAGAUCAUGUUCAUUAAAAAUAGAUAUUUAUUAAUGAAAUUUUCUACAGUUAUGCUUCAGAUGUUUGAAUAUAUUGCACUGUAGAAAAUUUCAUCAAAAUAUAUCUAUUUUCAAUGAACACGACCUCGCCGAGUGAGAGUCAGCAUGCGGUUCUAGAAAUUCACCUACUCAACUUCGGAAAUGGCAACCAAAAAAUAAACGAAUGUUUUUCCUUUUGGGGUUGAAUUCCGCCACACAAAUUCAUGUUGAUAAUUACUAUCAGCACCACCAAUUUCCACGGGGCUUUUCUGAAGCCAUUCUACCGCGGUAGUGUGACUAACAGAACACUCGUCUAUAAUGAGGUUUUGCAUGUCUUUGCACCAGCAGUAAAUAAGCAAUACGAGAUUGAACAGUGGAAUAUGACUCCUUUCAAAGAAUGAACUGUAACGAACAGAUUUCUUGUGUUUACAAUUUUUACAGUACCAUUCUUUGCCAUCAAUUCUGUCAGAGCGUGUAACAAGUCCGCAUGGUACUAAACAAUCUUCGCAGGUAAACUUAUUCCUAAUAAGCCGACGGCGCGCACAUCAUUCCAACAUUUUGUAUCUUGAACUGCUGGAUAAUUCACUCAUAUUCCAACACUCCUCUAAUAUUAAUUGACGAGUGAGGAUUUCGUUUUCAGGAACAAUAAGUUGUGCAGCCGGUCUUCCACGUGGCAUUUUCGAUCUUUCACAUAAGAAACUAUGAUAUUCAACCACGUGUGCGAUUUAUUUAUAAACAGCGGGAAAAAAAAACAAAACACAUAUUUGCACAUUCUUCGUUUUAUUUACUAGAGAGCGGUGUGUUUACAUUUGUCACAUGAUACCAUACUUCCGUUUCCGCUACAACUUGUUUGACUCUGGAGAAUAACGAUAAUGUGUUUUUGUAUGUUUUCACGGAGAUUUGGUAUAUGCAGGACUCUAACUGGGAGAACAAUGCCUGUCAUCGCCAUGGAUGGAAGAAGCAGGUUAAGGAGGGGAUCGACACUUUUGAGAGAGCACAUAUCCAGCAUGAAGAACUUAAGCGAGCUGCACAAAAGCACACGGCUCAUAUAGUGAAUGGGGAAAGUUUAAUCGGCAAUGUUUGCAGUCGUGUAUGCUUGUCAAGAGCAGGGCUCAUUAGCCACCAACGGAGCUGCAAAUGCAAAAUAUAUAGAGCACAUAAUGUUCCUAAAGGUCACGAGUG